rnacentral:tRNA from 1 species
GCGGACGUGGCUCAGCGGUAGAGCAUCGCCUUGCCAAGGCGAGGGUCGCGGGUUCGAUU